GUCCCUGAGCAAAUAGCUAAACUUAGACGAAUCAGGAGUUGCUUCGAUAUUUACUUUCCUGACAGGCACACAUGCUUUUACAUAAAAAUUCUUCCAGAUUAAAGUGAAGUGUUAUGAAGUUUAGUACCUGCACUUAAGUCUUAAGUAAUCGAAAGACAAAAUAGUUAAGUCAAGCAUUAUCCCUCCUGUCUAUACUUCACCUUUGUUCCAGAGUUUUUCAUAAGUUUUCAAAAUAAAACUCAGAGUUCCCAGCAAUGAUUCUCUCAAGUCUCUCUAUAUGUGGUAUUUGUGGAUCCUUACCAUGAUAUCACUUGCCUAUAGCUAAUAGAAUAUUUAAGUGGAGCUCAUAGGAGUGAAAAACAACUCAUACAUAUGUUGUCUAAUCGAGCCAUGGAUCCAAAGGAACUCAGCAUAUAAUUAAAUCAAGAUGUGCAUGUGUGGUGGAGUAAAUGAUUGUGAUGGUGAAGAUAUAUAAAUAAAACUUAGUUCUCAUUGUUCCUUAUAUUGCUAUCUCUUCUCUUCUUUGAUCUUUGCUUUGGGAGAACAUGGGCUAUCUUUUUCUCUCUUCUUUUUUUUUCAGGUGGGUAGUAGAUACCCCUAAUUCUACUGUUGGACACUUGUCCAUUUUUUCCGCUCAAGUGGGCAUCUUUGUACCCCUAAUUCUACUUCGGACACUUGUCCAUUUUUACCUCUCGUCUCACUCUUUUUCUUUCUUUUCCGAGGUUCCGGGCACUUGCCCCUUUUUAUUUCCUCGCAUAUUUUUUUUGCAUAACCCAUGCCUCUUCUGCAUUGAAUCUUUUUAGAGAGAGAGAGAAUAACAAUACUUGGGACAGUGAGUGAUAUAUAUUUUUUAGCAAUUUUAAUGAUUGAUGAUGAAUGCUGUGGUAGAUGUGUGCAAGUGAAUAUCUUAAUUUAACCACAUGAAAAGCUCCUAAGGGUCUACACAGCUCGAUCAAACUCAAUGUAAAUAUAGUAAAAGAUGUUAUAGCAAGUAUGGCUGUGGUAGGUAGUUUUGUUAUGCUAGGAACUCAUCAUGUGACUUGUAAGUUUUCAAAAUAAAUCUCUAGAACUUAGUGUAGUAGGAACAAGAUAAACAGCAGCUCAACUUUAUAUCAUGCCUUUCUCUUACCUAGACUUUAGUGUUAUGCUUCUCAUAGAUAGUAAUUUUAGUUUUAGUAAUUCCUGGAAGAACUCUAAUAUAAAAGCUAGGUACUUGUAAGUAAGCAAACAGAGCAACUGUUCAUCAUUUCCAUCAUGCAUAUUUUUGGUCUUUUUAUUUUUUCUAGAGAUUAAACUUAGCAGAAAAAUAAAGCACACUUAUCUACACACUCUUUUUAUUUUAUUUUCAUGUUUAUAAAGUGCAGUAAAUUAAAGCAAGAAAAUAUUUAUUUGGUUUUCUAAGUUUUUUCCUUUUAAGAUAAAUUAAAUACUAAGAUAGAAUAGAAUAAAUAAGAAGAGCAAAUAGAAACUUACUUGAUAAAUUUAGGGAGGAACUCCCCCAAGCUGGAUGUUGCCGUCGGUCUUACCCGAUGUUCCAGAACCGCAUCGUGGUUGUGAUGUUGUCGUUCAUUGUUGUUGUAUCUUGUCUCAGCUCUUCUACUGCAGCGGCAUGGUCCUGGUUCCAUUUUUGUUGCUCUUCUAGGAGUCGUCCAUGUUCUGCUUGCGUGUUCUGGAUGUCGAGGAGGGUGUUGUCGGUACGAGUGAAGAAAGCACCGGCCUCUUGAUAGUAGUCAUUCGUGAAAGCGUAGGAGGCGUCGGAGUAUCGUCCUGCAUCAAAUUGGGGUGGAGGUCUGGAUCCUGAAGCUCCAUAUGGAUCAGUGGAGUACCUGCCCGUAUGAAAAGGCGGGAUUGUCCACUGGUGAUCUUGGCUCUCCGGCCAUGUCUCCUCUGUUGGCUCUUGUGGUUGCGCAUGACGAGCCCAUGGGUCUCGAAGGACUCGAGGGUUGUAAUCGCAAUAAUGCAGGUGCGCUGCUUCUUCUGGUCCAGGGUCAGCUCCAUACCAAGUGCGUUCUCGG
rnacentral:lncRNA from 1 species